GACGAACGCUGGCGGCGUGCUUAACACACGCAAGUCGAACGGAAAGGCCCUGCUUUUGUGGGGUGCUCGAGUGGCGAACGGGUGAGUAACACGUGAGUAACCUGCCCUUGACUUUGGGAUAACUUCAGGAAACUGGGGCUAAUACCGGAUAGGAGCUCCUGCUGCAUGGUGGGGGUUGGAAAGUUUCGGCGGUUGGGGAUGGACUCGCGGCUUAUCAGCUUGUUGGCGGGGUAGUGGCUUACCAAGGCUUUGACGGGUAGCCGGCCUGAGAGGGUGACCGGCCACAUUGGGACUGAGAUACGGCCCAGACUCCUACGGGAGGCAGCAGUGGGGAAUAUUGCACAAUGGGCGGAAGCCUGAUGCAGCAACGCCGCGUGCGGGAUGACGGCCUUCGGGUUGUAAACCGCUUUCGCCUGUGACGAAGCGUGAGUGACGGUAAUGGGUAAAGAAGCACCGGCUAACUACGUG
rnacentral:rRNA from 1 species